rnacentral:piRNA from 1 species
UCUUUUCCGUGAUUUAAAGAA